UACGUAUGGGGCAAGCGUUAUCCGGAUUUACUGGGUGUAAAGGGAGCGUAGGCGGCGGGGCAAGCCUGAUGUGAAAGCCCGGGGCUCAACCCCGGGACUGCAUUGGGAACUGCCCUGCUGGAGUGCCGGAGGGGCAGGCGGAACUCCUAGUGUAGCGGUGAAAUGCGUAGAUAUUAGGAGGAACACCAGUGGCGAAGGCGGCCUGCUGGACGGUGACUGACGCUGAGGCUCGAAAGUGCGGGGAUCGAACAGG
rnacentral:rRNA from 1 species